AAUACCCAAUCCUGACACAGGGAGGUAGUGACAAGAAAUAACAAUACAGGGCUAUUGUCUUGUAAUUGGAAUGAUGGUGACUUAAACCCUCACCAGAGUACCAAUUGGAGGGCAAGUCUGGUGCCAGCAGCCGCGGUAAUUCCAGCUCCAAUAGCGUAUAUUAAACUUGUUGCAGUUAAAAAGCUCGUAGUUGAAUUUCAGCGUUGUUUUCGUGUUCCCUUUUUGCGGGUUUCGUCUACUUCGCUUUUUUUUAUUACUUUGAGAAAAUUAGAGUGUUUCAAGCAGGCUUUUGUCUUGAAUACUUGAGCAUGGAAUAAUAGAGUAGGACCUUGGUUCUUCUUUGUUGGUUUUUGUUACCUUGGUAAUGGUUAAUAGGAACGGUUGGGGGCAUUCGUAUUUAA
rnacentral:rRNA from 1 species